GUGAAUGUGUGACCCCCGAAUAUU
rnacentral:piRNA from 1 species